GACGAACGCUGGCGGCGUGCCUAACACAUGCAAGUCUUGGGAGAAAGGGGUAGCAAUAUCCUGAGUAAACCGGCGCAAGGGUGAGUAACACGUAGGCAAUCUACCCUCAGGAUGGGGACAACUCCGAGAAAUCGGGGCUAAUACCCGAUAAAGCAGCGACACCGCAUGGUGAUGCUGUUAAAGCUCUGAUGCAAAUCAGGGUACCUGUGGAUGGGCCUGCGUCCCAUUAGGUAGUUGGUGAGGUAACGGCUCACCAAGCCAACGAUGGGUAGCUGGUCUGAGAGGACGAUCAGCCACACUGGAACUGAGACACGGUCCAGACUCCUACGGGUGGCAG
rnacentral:rRNA from 1 species